GAUGAACGCUGGCGGCGUGCUUAACACAUGCAAGUCGAACGAAGCACUUUAUUUGAUUUCCUUCGGGACUGAUUAUUUUGUGACUGAGUGGCGGACGGGUGAGUAACGCGUGGGUAACCUGCCUUGUACAGGGGGAUAACAGUUGGAAACGGCUGCUAAUACCGCAUAAGCGCACAGCAUCGCAUGAUGCAGUGUGAAAAACUCCGGUGGUAUAAGAUGGACCCGCGUUGGAUUAGCUAGUUGGUGAGGUAACGGCCCACCAAGGCGACGAUCCAUAGCCGACCUGAGAGGGUGACCGGCCACAUUGGGACUGAGGCACGGCCCAAACUCCUACGGGAGGCAGCAGUGGGGAAUAUUGCACAAUGGGCGAAAGCCUGAUGCAGCGACGCCGCGUGAGCGAAGAAGUAUUUCGGUAUGUAAAGCUCUAUCAGCAGGGAAGAUAAUGACGGUACCUGACGAAGAAGCACCGGCUAAAUACGUG
rnacentral:rRNA from 1 species